rnacentral:rRNA from 1 species
AUUGAACGCUGGCGGCAGGCUUAACACAUGCAAGUCGAGCGGGGGAGGUUGCUUCGGUAACUGACCUAGCGGCGGACGGGUGAGUAAUGCUUAGGAAUCUGCCUAUUAGUGGGGGACAACAUUCCGAAAGGGAUGCUAAUACCGCAUACGCCCUACGGGGGAAAGCAGGGGAUCUUCGGACCUUGCGCUAAUAGAUGAGCCUAAGUCGGAUUAGCUAGUUGGUGGGGUAAAGGCCUACCAAGGCGACGAUCUGUAGCGGGUCUGAGAGGAUGAUCCGCCACACUGGGACUGAGACACGGCCCAGACUCCUACGGGAGGAAGCAGUGGGGAAUAUUGGACAAUGGGCGGAAGCCUGAUCUAGCCAUGCCGCGUGUGUGAAGAAGGCCUUUUGGUUGUAAAGCACUUUAAGCGAGGAGGAGGCUCUUAAGGUUAAUACCCUUGAUGAGUGGACGUUACUCGCAGAAUAAGCACCGGCUAACUCUGUGCCAGCCGCCGCGGUAACAC